rnacentral:sRNA from 1 species
GAAACGCGAACCAAGCAGAACGCUCCCAUCAGCGUUCAGUGAGUCUUGGAGCCUCCCCGCCGCAAGGCGAGGGAGUACA